UACCGAUUGAAUGGUCCGGUGAAGUUUUCGGAUCGCGGCGACGCCGGCGGUUCGCCGCCGGUGACGUUGUGAGAAGUUCAUUAAACCUUAUCAUUUAGAGGAAGGAGAAGUCGUAACAAGGUUUCCGUAGGUGAACCUGCGGAAGGAUCAUUG
rnacentral:rRNA from 1 species